GGCGGUUCUCGGAUAACACACCCAGGAAUCGGGCUCCCUCCUGGUUCUGGGUGCAUCACCCAAGAACUGCA
rfam:Myotis davidii contig143037, whole genome shotgun sequence.